UAAAAAACACGUAAGGGCGUACAGUGAAUGCCUUGGCGCAAUGUACCGAUGAAGGACGUGGGAGCCUGCGAAAUGCCUCGGGGAGCUGGCAAACGAGCUUUGAUCCGAGGGUGUCCGAAUGGGAAAACCCACAUAGGUAACCCCUAUGUACUGUGCACUGAAAGUCCGUUUAUUCGGACCAUAGGUGGGCAGUGGGAACCCAGUGAACUGAACCAUCUUAGUAACUGGAGGAAAAGAAAAAAAGCCGUCUUUAAGACGGAGCAUUCCCUGAGUAGCGGUGAGCGAAAAGGGAACAGCCCGUGGAUGAAAAACGAAUAUAUUAUUAGCUGAACUACCUGGAAUCGGUAGGCCAUAGAAAGCAAAUGCCUUGUAAGCGAAAAUAAUAUAUGAUUUCCACUUUAUGAGUAGCAGCGGACACGUGAAAUCUGCUGUGAACUAAUUCUUAGGAAUUUAAGGGGGACCUCCCCCUAAGGCUAAAUAUAUAUUGCGACCGAUAGUGAACUAGUACCGUGAGGGAAAGGUGAAAAGUACCCCGGUGAGGGGAGUGAAAUAGUCCUUGAAACUGUACGUCUACAAGCAGUCGACGUGGUUAAUUUAUUAACCACUACGGCGUGUCUUUUGGAGCAUAAGCCGGCGAGUAACUCGCUGCCUGCUAGUCUAAGCCAUUAAGUGGCGGAGGCGUAGGGAAACCGAGUGGUCUUAAUAGGGCCCUUAGCAGGUGGUGGUUAGCCCGAAACCGAGUGAGCUAUCCAUGUCCAGGGUGAAGGGAGGGUAAAACCUUCUGGAGGCCCGAACCAGUGUACGUUGAAAAGUGCUUGGAUGAGGUGUGGAUAGAGGUGAAAUGCCAAACGGACUCGGAAAUAGCUGGUUCUCCUCGAAAUGGCUUUAAGGCCAGCGUCUGUGGAUUUUAUGGUUGGGGUAGAGCUACUGGAUGGAUGUUGGUGGGCAACUGCUUACGUCCAACCAAACUCCGAAUACAACCAUCUUCAAGCAGACAAGUUAGUGUACGAGGGCUAAGCUUCGUGCACGAAAGGGAAACAGCCCAGAUCGAACGUUAAGGUCCUUAAGUCUUAUCUUAGUGGGAAAGGAAGUCGUGUCACUUAGACAACCAGGAGGUUGGCUUAGAAGCAGCCAUCCUUUAAAAAGUGCGUAAUAGCUUACUGGUCAACUACGUGAUGUGGCGCCGAAAAUAUAACGGGGCUCAAGAUAAGCACCGAAGCGACGAAUUGGAUUUGUACUUGAUACAAACUCCAGUGGUAGAGGAGCGUUCUAUAUGCAUUGAAGCCAAACGCGCGAGCGAUGGUGGAGCGUAUAGAAGUGAGAAUGCCGGCAUGAGUAACGCAAAUCAGUCGAGAUUACUGAUCACCGAAUACCCGAGGUUUCCGCAGCACUGCACAUCAACUGCGGGUUAGGCGGUCCUAAGGCGAGGCCGUAAUUGGCGUAGUCGAUGGACAGACGGUUAAUAUUCCGUCCCUUCUAUAGAUGUUCCCAUCAGAGACUGAGAACUUUUGUUCUUACGAGAAAAUCUGAUGAUUAAUAGUCUAUAGGAUCCGUACCGUAAACCGACACAGGUGGGUGGGGAGAGUAUCCUCAGGUGAUCGAGAUAACCUUCGCUAAGGAAUUCGGCAAAUUGCUGUCGUAACUUAGGGAGAAGGCAGCCCCUUCGUAUGCUUGCAUAUGUUGGGGGGCACAAACAAGGCUCAAACGACUGUUUAACAAAAACACAGCUCCCUGCUAACUCGAAAGAGGAUGUAUAGGGGGUGACGCCUGCCCAAUGCUGGAAGGUUAAAGAAGUUGGUUAGUUUCCUCGGAAACAAAGCUGGCGACUGAAGCCCCAGUGAAUGGCAGCAGUAACUAUAACUGUUCUAAGGUACCGAAGUUCCUUGUCGGGUAAUUUCCGACCUGCAGGAAAGGCGUAACGAGUUGAGCACUGUCUUCAGCGAAGGGCUCGGUGAAAUUGUAAUGGCCGUGAAGAUACGGUCUACCUACACCAGGACAAAAAGACCCCGUGGAGCUUUACUAUAGCUUGGCAUUGAUUUAAGAAUGUUUCUGUGUAGCGUAGCGAGGAGACUUUGAAGCGUAGGCGUCAGCUUACGUGGAGUCGCCAAUGAAACACUCGCCUUUAAUAUUUUUAAAUCUUACCUUGAGCCGUGAAUCCGGUUCGGGGACAGUGUCUGGUAGGUAGUUUGUCUGGGGCGGAUGCCUGGCAAAAAGUAACCCAGGUGCCCAAAGGUUCUCUUAGUCCGGAUGGAAAUCGGACCACAAGUGUAAAGGCAAAAGAGAGCUUGACUGCAAGGCUGACAAGCCGAGCAGCAGCGAAAGCUGGGCUUAGUGAUCCUGCUUAACUUAGAGGUAAGGAAGCAGCUUAUCGGAUUAAAGUUACCCCGGGGAUAACAGAGUGGUCGCGCCCAAUAGCCCGUAUUGCCGGCGCGGUUCGCUACCUCGAUGUCGGCUCAUNNNNNNNNNNNNNNNNNNNNNNNNNNNNNNNNNNNNNNNNNNNNNNNNNCUGUUCGCCCAUUAAAGCGGUACGCGAGCUGGGUUCAAACCGUCGUGAGACAGGUUGGUCUCUAUCCGGUGUAGGCGUGUAAUGAUUUGAGAGGAUAUUCCGUUAGUACGAGAGGACCGCGGAGUGCGAAUCUCUGGUGUAUCAGUUGUUUGUCGAGUUUGCUUGCAAACUCGGAGGGCAUAGCUGAGUAGCUACAUUCGUUUAGGAUAAGCGCUGAAAGCAUAUAAGCGCGAAGCCGACCUCAAGAUUAAAUCAAGGCCCCUGGGAGAAUACCAGGUUGAUAGGCUGCAAGUGUACGCGUAGCAAUACGUUUAGCUGAGCAGUACUAAUAAGCCGUUAGUAUUUUA
rnacentral:rRNA from 1 species